rnacentral:rRNA from 1 species
CCUACGGGGUGCAGCAGUGGGGAAUAUUGGACAAUGGGGGGAACCCUGAUCCAGCCAUGCCGCGUGUGUGAAGAAGGCCCUCGGGUUGUAAAGCACUUUCAGUGAGGAAGAACGCCUGGUGGUUAAUACCCAUCAGGAAAGACAUCACUCACAGAAGAAGCACCGGCUAACUCCGUGCCAGCAGCCGCGGUAAUACGGAGGGUGCGAGCGUUAAUCGGAAUUACUGGGCGUAAAGCGCGCGUAGGUGGCUUGAUAAGCCGGUUGUGAAAGCCCCGGGCUCAACCUGGGAACGGCAUCCGGAACUGUCAAGCUAGAGUGCAGGAGAGGAAGGUAGAAUUCCCGGUGUAGCGGUGAAAUGCGUAGAGAUCGGGAGGAAUACCAGUGGCGAAGGCGGCCUUCUGGACUGACACUGACACUGAGGUGCGAAAGCGUGGGUAGCAAACAGGAUUAGAUACCCGGGUAGUC